UGGUUCUGUCACAGUAGAUCUUCACGGAUCAUCCGAUCCUGGAACACUGAGAUUAAGAAAUGGUCAAACUCCAGUUCUCAAAAUCUAGACUUUGUGAUCUGUUUUCAGGAGAAACUGUGCAUGACUCAGGAAUUAAUCUGCAGAAGUAGAUGAUGAAGUUGUUCCCAGUCUGAGAAUAAAUCUACACAGGAAAUGGAAAACUGAGCCAGCUUGGAGUGAAUGCGGAGACAUGCGUUGCUACAAAAUAUUAAAAACAGUGCGUGCGUCCAUUUGGGCUCUUGGUUUCAAACCUGCCUGAAGAGCUGGGACGGCAUAUGCUUCAGAACAAAGCGUGUUUCUCUUCUUGUCAGAGCACCGGGAGCAUUCCAGGGUGAACAAUCAAACCAACAUUUCUAAACUGAUCUAAACCUACCUGUGACACAGCCCCAGAUGGGGAACCCGAAGGAGGCCAGGAGACCUGCUCCUGUCACUAACACACUGGGGUUGAGUCCAAGUGGAGCUCCUUCUCCCAGCCCGUGGUGCCUCUCCUGCCCUCAACCCCCACAUCCUCCCUUCCAGACCCUUGAGCAAAAGCUGCAGGUUGGAUUCCCGUGCGGUACAGCUCUGACAGGGGACAAUGCCUGGACACCUUUGGGGAAGAGUCUGGCAUCAGUGACUGACAGUGCCAGGUGGCAGCCACGGCAGGAACUGGUGUCAGUGGUAGAGGAGCCAGGGAUGGGCUCCACCAACCAUACCCGCUGGUGACCUUGACUCUUUUCUUUUGCCCACUUUCCCUAAUGCCUGCUCAUUCUCUGACCCUGGUUCUUUCACCUUCCUGUUAAUUCUGUGAGCAUCUCAAUAGCCUCCAAUAAUUGCUUUUCUGCCGAUGUCAGCCAGGGUUGGUUCCUAUCGCCUGUCACAAAGAACCAUAACAUUCCUUUAAUUAAGCCUAAUGAUAAUCCUGUGAGUAAGGUCCUGUGAUUAUUAUCUCCAGUUUAUAGAUGAGGAAUGAAGCUCAGGGAAGUCAAGUAACUUGACCAAGGUCACACACAGCUUUUAAAUAACAGAACUCAAACGCUCUUCCUACUACACCAAGCUUCCUCUCACAAACCAUGGCCACUUCUGUAUAUCCAGUACUUACCCUUGGUCUAGGGCUCCAUUAGGCUGGCAUUACCCUAGAAACAUUAUUUGGGGUAUAAAAUUUUUUUAAUAAAAUAAAUAACUUUUCCA
rnacentral:lncRNA from 1 species